GAUGAACGCUGGCGGCGUGCUUAACACAUGCAAGUCGAACGAUGAUGCCCAGCUUGCUGGGUGGAUUAGUGGCGAACGGGUGAGUAACACGUGAGUAACCUGCCCUUGACUCUGGGAUAAGCCUGGGAAACUGGGUCUAAUACCGGAUACGACCAUCUGGCGCAUGUCAUGGUGGUGGAAAGCUUUUGUGGUUUUGGAUGGACUCGCGGCCUAUCAGCUUGUUGGUGGGGUAAUGGCCUACCAAGGCGACGACGGGUAGCCGGCCUGAGAGGGUGACCGGCCACACUGGGACUGAGACACGGCCCAGACUCCUACGGGAGGCAGCAGUGGGGAAUAUUGCACAAUGGGCGGAAGCCUGAUGCAGCGACGCCGCGUGAGGGAUGACGGCCUUCGGGUUGUAAACCUCUUUCAGUAGGGAAGAAGCGAAAGUGACGGUACCUGCAGAAGAAGCGCCGGCUAACUUCGUG
rnacentral:rRNA from 1 species